UCUUGGUCAUUUAGAAGAAGUAAAAGUAGUAACAAGGUCUCCGAUGGUGAACCAGCGGAGGGAUCAUUACCGAGUUUACAACUCCCAAACCCAUGUGAACAUACCUACUGUUGCUUCGGCGGGAUUGCCCCGGGCGCCUCGUGUGCCCCGGAUCAGGCGCCCGCCUAGGAAACUCAACUCUUGUUUUAUUUUGGAAUCUUCUGAGUAGUUUUUACAAAUAAAUAAAAACUUUCAACAACGGAUCUCUUGGUUCUGGCAUCGAUGAAGAACGCAGCGAAAUGCGAUAAGUAAUGUGAAUUGCAGAAUUCAGUGAAUCAUCGAAUCUUUGAACGCACAUUGCGCCCGCCAGUAUUCUGGCGGGCAUGCCUGUCUGAGCGUCAUUUCAACCCUCAUGCCCCUAGGGCGUGGUGUUGGGGAUCGGCCAAAGCCCCGCGAGGGACGGCCGGCCCCUAAAUCUAGUGGCGGACCCGUCGUGGCCUCCUCUGCGAAGUAGUGAUAUUCCGCAUCGGAGAGCGACGAGCCCCUGCCGUUAAACCCCCAACUUUCCAAGGUUGACCUCAGAUCAGGUAGGAAUACCCGCUGAACUUAAGCAUAUCAAUAAGCGGAGGA
rnacentral:rRNA from 1 species